UUAUAAGAGACAGCAGUCGCCGCGGUAAUACGAAGGGUGCAAGCGUUAAUCGGAAUUACUGGGCGUAAAGCGUGCGUAGGCGGUUUGUUAAGUCUGUUGUGAAAUCCCCGGGCUCAACCUGGGAAUGGCAAUGGAUACUGGCAAGCUAGAGUGUGUCAGAGGAUGGUGGAAUUCCCGGUGUAGCGGUGAAAUGCGUAGAGAUCGGGAGGAACAUCAGUGGCGAAGGCGGCCAUCUGGGACAGCACUGACGCUGAGGCACGAAAGCGUGGGGAGCAAACAGGAUUAGAUACCCGUGUAGUCCCUGUCUCUUAUAA
rnacentral:rRNA from 1 species